rnacentral:tRNA from 1 species
GGGCGACUAGCUCAGCUGGUCAGAGCGUCUCCUUUACACGGAGAAGGUCCACGGUUCGAGCCCGUGGUCGCCCA